rnacentral:rRNA from 1 species
ACGGAAGGCAGCAGUGGGGAAUAUUGCACAAUGGGCGAAAGCCUGAUGCAGCGACGCCGCGUGAGCGAAGAAGUAUUUCGGUAUGUAAAGCUCUAUCAGCAGGGAAGAUAAUGACGGUACCUGACUAAGAAGCACCGGCUAAAUACGUGCCAGCAGCCGCGGUAAUACGUAUGGUGCAAGCGUUAUCCGGAUUUACUGGGUGUAAAGGGAGCGUAGGCGGUUUUACAAGUCUGAUGUGAAAGCCCGGGGCUCAACUCCGGUAUUGCAUUGGAAACUGUAGAACUAGAGUGUCGGAGGGGUAAGUGGAAUUCCUAGUGUAGCGGUGAAGUGCGUAGAUAUUAGGAGGAACACCAGUGGCGAAGGCGGCUUACUGGACGAUUACUGACGCUGAGGCUCGAAAGCGUGGGGAGCAAACAGGAUUAGAUACCCUGGUA